AGACUCCGCAAACUAGUCUUUAAGCAAAGUAGACGAAGGCAUUGAGGUUGCGGCCUGCCAUCAUUAUUAUUUUGCUUAAGGGACUGAAUAUGUUUCAUGCAGAAAUAUUAGCAUUUCCCUUAUAUCUACCAAAACUGCUUGUUUCACAGACUGCAGUUUUGUUUUGAUCCGAUGUGGUGUGCAAAUACCAACUGUAUCUGCAAUGGGUUGUUGGGCAUUAAUAUUUGUAACUCUAAUUUUGUUUUGACAGACUGUGCAAAGAAUGUUGAGAACAUCACCACUCUACAGGAAUACACAGUCCAGUAAUGUGUCAGAAGUUCAGUAGUGAACGACAGGUAGUACUGACGCAUUUACGGAGAUGGGACAUGAGGGCCUUGUCUGCGUGCCCAAGAGAAGAUUCCACAGAGUUCAAGCUGAGCAGGCUGCAGCAGGUUUGGAGGAAUCCUCCUCUGAAGAGGAAACAUGGCGAGGUUCUUCUCCACUGAUGAAGAAAUAUCUUCUCAAGAGAAGCUGCCUCAGCUCCACGGUCCCUCCUGCAGCCUCCACUCCUGAUGCUAACCCCCGGUCUCCAUCACACCAUCCGGGCAGACCUGGAGUCACAGAACUUUGUCCAGAGCUGCCGUCUAAGAAUUGUUGAUCAUAUAAUUUUCAGCAGAUGCCUUAAUGUAAUGUUUGUGCACAAUAAAUGACAUUGAUCAUAA